UACGGAGGGUGCAAGCGCUAUCCGGAUUCACUGGGUUUAAAGGGUGCGUAGGCGGACAGGUAAGUCAGUGGUGAAAUCUCUGGGCUUAACCCAGAAACUGCCGUUGAUACUAUUUGUCUUGAAUAUCCUGGAGGUAGGCGGAAUAUGUCAUGUAGCGGUGAAAUGCUUAGAUAUGACAUAGAACACCGAUAGCGAAGGCAGCUUACUACAGGAUGAUUGACGCUGAGGCACGAAAGCGUGGGGAGCAAACAGG
rnacentral:rRNA from 1 species